rnacentral:rRNA from 1 species
UNNCAUGGGGGCGUGCUUACCAUGCAAGUCGAACGCGAAAGUUUUCUUCGGAAAGCGAGUAGAGUGGCGCACGGGUGAGUAACGCGUAAAUAAUCUACCCUGAUGUCUGGGAUAACCAGCCGAAAGGCUGACUAAUACCGGCUAUAUGAUUGACUGUUGGGUUGAUCAGGAAAGGUGGCCUCUUCUUGAAAGCUAUCGCAUUGGGAUGAGUUUGCGUACCAUUAGCUAGUUGGUGGGGUAACGGCCCACCAAGGCCACGAUGGUUAGCGGGUCUGAGAGGAUGAUCCGUCACACUGGCACUGGAACACGGGCCAGACUCCUACGGGAGGCAGCAGUGAGGAAUAUUGCGCAAUGGGGGCAACCCUGACGCAGCGACGCCGCGUGAGUGAGGAAGGCCUUCGGGUCGUAAAGCUCUGUCAGAUGGGAAGAAGUGUUAUACGGUUAAUACCCGUAUGAUUUGACGGUACCAUCAAAGGAAGCACCGGCUAACUCCGUGCCAGCAGCCGCGGUAAUACGGAGGGUGCGAGCGUUGUUCGGAAUCACUGGGCGUAAAGGGCGCGCAGGCGGUUUGUUUAGUCAGAUGUGAAAGCCCACGGCUUAACCGUGGAAGUGCAUUUGAAACUGGCAGACUUGAGUACCAGAGGGGAAGGUGGAAUUCCCGGUGUAGAGGUGAAAUUCGUAGAUAUCGGGAGGAAUACCGGUGGCGAAGGCGACUUUCUGGCUGGAUACUGACGCUGAGGCGCGAAAGCGUGGGGAGCAAACAGGAUUAGAUACCCUGGUAGUCCACGCCGUAAACGAUGUGAACUAGAUGUUGGAGGUGUUGAUCCCUUCGGUGUCGGAGCUAACGCAUUAAGUUCACCGCCUGGGGGAGUACGGUCGCAAGAUUAAAACUCAAAGGAAUUGACGGGGGCCCGCACAAGCGGUGGAGUAUGUGGUUUAAUUCGAUGC